UACGUAGGGGGCUAGCGUUGUCCGGAAUCAUUGGGCGUAAAGAGCUCGUAGGCGGCUUGUCGCGUCGAAUGUGAAAUUUUAGGGCUCAACCCUGACAUUGCAUUCGAUACGGGCAGGCUUGAGUUCGGUAGGGGAGACUGGAAUUCCUGGUGUAGCGGUGAAAUGCGCAGAUAUCAGGAGGAACACCGGUGGCGAAGGCGGGUCUCUGGGAAGGUACCGACGCUGAGGAGCGAAAGCGUGGGGAGCAAACGGG
rnacentral:rRNA from 1 species